AAUGUGAAACCAACAGGAUACGCCAAUGAUUGUAAAGAAUAUGAUGAUGAUAUAGGAUAAAGGAAGAGAGGAGUUAAUUAAAUAUGACACCGAUGUUUUUAUCCUGAACAAAUGGAAGGAAGGAAUUGCUGAAAUAGAGACGUCUCUGAAGAGCAGAAGCUGUUUUGAACAUUGCAGUUUGAGAUACCUAUUAGACCUCUGCUUGGAGGUCUCAAACAGCCCCAGCCUGCAUCCCUUUCUACAGAAGUAACAACAAUUUCCAGUUUCUGAGCCUUUCCAGGGUUGUACAUCAUUUCAGAGAGGCUUCAGGAUGGAGUUGUGAUAAACGCAUGUGUUCAGUCUACAAUGUUUAACAGGGACCGCCUCCUGAUUUUUUCAUUUGAAUUACUGAGGAGUAGGUAGUAGACUAUCUUGAUGCCCUUCCUCACGUCCCUUUGACUCUGAGUUGACCUGCAGCUGCAGUGAACACUCCCUAAGGAUGCUGAUGGCUUCCCCCAUCAAGCACCUGCCUCAUUCUGCUUCUCCAAGGAUUUCCUCCAGUACACCAAGAGCUUGCCCAACACUCACAAGGUAUCCUGGAAUUGCUGGGGAAGAAUGAGGAUCAGUAGAUUAAUAGCAACUGUCCCAUACCUUGGUGGGACUAUUAUUAGGCAUUCUGCUUGGUUCCUCAGAGGUCCCAAAUGGGAUUGAACCAAAGUUGCCCACAGUAAAAACCCAUUCACCAAUUCAAUUUUCAUUUCACCUCUCUCAAUUUGCACACUCACUCACUUGUUCUCCCUGGGAUACUCUCCAAGAUAAACUCCUGUAUCCAAAGCUUUGUCUCAAGGUCUGAUUUGGGAGGAACUCAAACUAAGAUAAUAGGUACUGGAAGUGACUACAGAAAGUAUAUUCUCAAUGGUAUGGAGGCAACAAAAACCCCAUUAAUGGUGGUGAGUAAGGUGGUGACAAACCCUGGCACUUUGAAGAAUUUCAAUACCCACAAUUGACCCAUGGUGUAUUUGGAUGAGGUAAAGAUGAAAGGAGAUGCUUACCUUAUGCAAUAGUGCUAACUCCUGAAAGACACAGGGCUGUGAUAAUCACAGGAAUUGAAGAGUUGUCUUGUUCUUGUUAACUCCCCUAGAAGAAUUGGGAAAAAAAGAAAGAUAGGUUUACAACAUCCAACUAUCCAUUCAGAGCAUAGCAAUGAAAGCCAGAAGGUCUCCUUGAGAGGAUCUAAAGAGACCCCCAUUUCCUGCAACCAGAGGACAGGCUGUUCUUAAAAAAUGACAUUCAGGGGUUCAUUGCAAGAGGAAUUGAACUACAGAGCAGAUUAAAGACACAGUCCAGGCAGGCCUCUCAUGCAAAAGUCAAAGCCCUAGAGGAAGGAAAUGGUCCUUAAAAACUACUGGGAUGCAGGCAGGCAUCUGGAUAGAUGUGCUAGAUAACCUUGAACCCCUAGAUUCCCUGAACAACCCCGGCUAGCAGGAGUAUCCUGCACCCUGUUACUUGAACAGAACAGCUUACCAUUGCCUAGAGACUCUACACAAUCCUCCUCUGAAGCAGACACCUCCAAGAUUACUUCAAGGUCUGCUACUGCCUGCCCUCAUUGCCUCUAUUCCAAAAACUGAGAACAAGUCUCAGCAUGCCCUGAGCAGGGUAGCACAGUUCUUGCUGUGAGAGAUGUGACAGAUUGUAUUUUCUAAAGAAGGCUGCAACCAUGUCUCUCAUCCCAAAUGCUCUUCUACAAUGCAAACUUGUCACUCCGCUACCAAGAGAUGAAAUCUAAUUUCAAUGCCCUUGAAUCAAAGCUGGACUUUACUUGCUUUGACCUGUAAUAUACAGAAGUGGUGCUGUGUGAUUCUUACAGCUAAGUCAUAAAAGGUGAUGCAGCUUCUGCCUUGUUCCUGGGGGCAUUUGCCUCUGUGGGAUUGAGCUACUACAUAAGAAGACCACUACCUUGAGGCUGCCAUGCUGGAAGAAAGUAAAGCCACAUGAAGAGCAAGUAAGCUGGUUGCUUUAGCAAGAUCCUUCAUAUUGAUAGUGAAUGUGCACUUCUGUCUUUCUCUUGUGAAUGCAAACCACUUUUU